AUCAUAUUAGAAUGAUUUCUGAAGGAUCAUGUGACACUGAAGACUGGAGUAAUGAUGCUGAAAAUUCAGAGGAAUAAAUUACACUUUACUAUAUAUUCACAUAGAAAACAGCUGAUUUACAUUGGAAUAAUAUUUUCAGAUUUUUACUGUAUUUUUGAUUAAAUAAAUGCAGUCUUGGUGAGCAGAAGAGAAACUUCUGCUCACCAAGACUAAACUUUUAGACCAUAUACAGUAUGUACAGUAUGUGAUAUAAGUGUUUUUCUUUAUCGACUCUUGCUCAUGUUAUCUAAUGCAGUGACAUCUAGACAUUAUUCAGUCACUUAAGUGAACAAAUGUUUUUAGGACCGCUGUCUGUAAAGGCCAAAUAGAAAUUUCUACAAGUGACACCCAGAAUACACCGGCAUCAUGACAACAUACAGUUUCAGCUCCAGAUGUCCUGAUUUGUGUUCCUGCUGGUGCCGUGACCCGUGAGGUCGUGUCUCCAUCUGCUCCUGCAGGAGUCUGACCCUUCACGAGCUUAAGAGCUCGGGGAGGCUGUUGCCAUGGUGCUCACAGGCAUCGCCAGGGAAACCAGAUCUUCACAAGCCAAUGAGGCUCAAUAAGAGAAAUGUUGUUGUUCUCUGCAGCUUGUCAGAUGUUCUGUGUCAAAGGUCAGCGAGUUGUAAUGUAACCUGCCGGUGUGAACAUGAAAACUUCAUGAGUUCUGCUUCUCGUACUGAGAUUUUUCUCCGGAGGAAUGCUGAAUCAGUCUUUUUAUGCAUUAAAGUCCUAAAUGCAUCCCAUAAUGCAA